rnacentral:rRNA from 1 species
UACGGAGGGUGCAAGCGUUGUCCGGAAUCACUGGGCGUAAAGGGCGCGUAGGCGGCCUGGUAAGUAGGGGGUGAAAUCCUGCGGCUUAACCGCAGGGCUGCCUUCUAAACUGUCAGGCUUGAGCACGGUAGAGGCAGAUGGAAUUCCCGGUGUAGCGGUGGAAUGCGUAGAGAUCGGGAAGAACAUCAGUGGCGAAGGCGACCUUCUGGACAGAUACUGACACUGAGACACGAAAGCAUGGGUAGCAAACAGG